rnacentral:piRNA from 1 species
UGCUAGAGAGGGCAGUCCAGUCGCAGCAGA